CAGCAGCCGCGGUAAUACGGAGGGUGCAAGCGUUAAUCGGAAUUACUGGGCGUAAAGCGUGCGUAGGCGGCUUUUUAAGUCGGAUGUGAAAUCCCUGAGCUUAACUUAGGAAUUGCAUUCGAUACUGGGAAGCUAGAGUAUGGGAGAGGAUGGUAGAAUUCCAGGUGUAGCGGUGAAAUGCGUAGAGAUCUGGAGGAAUACCGAUGGCGAAGGCAGCCAUCUGGCCUAAUACUGACGCUGAGGUACGAAAGCAUGGGAAGCAAACAGGAUUAGAUACCCCGGUAGUCCCUGUCUCUUAUAC
rnacentral:rRNA from 1 species